AAGAAAAGUCUUAUAUAUAUAAAUUAUAUAAUAAUAAUUAUUAUAUACAUAAAAUAAUAAAUAUAAAUAAAUAAUAACAUGAAAAUAAAUAUUUUAAUAUACAUAUAUAAUUAAUAUAUAUAUAUAUAUAUAUAUUAUAAAGUUAUAUAUUAACUAUACAUAAAUAAGCUUAU
rnacentral:RNase_P_RNA from 1 species